CGUUGGACGGGACCGACAUAGCUAAAUCCCGUUCAGCAGAACCUCUGAAUAAACUUUUUUCUGAGAAACUUGAUGUAGGAAGUCCUUAAGCAUGGAAAAUUCCAUUUCAGUAUGAACUUUCCCCAAGAGAGGUCUGAGGUCUUGUUAACCAAACUAGUAACACUUGUAGGCAUUAUUUGCCUUGAGAUCACAGAGUGGCAAGAAGAUGACACCACAGAGAGCCUUUGAGGUCAUCAGUCCUGCUCCCCAGACACAUGCAGUAGAUGGGAUCAUAGAUUAAAGCUCUUAAGCCCCGGAAGAUGAAGGCUGCUGGUGAUAGCAUAAAGGUUUUCGAGUUGUUUUUAGUAUUCUGAUGGGGUAAAAUCAGUCUGCUG
rnacentral:lncRNA from 1 species